rnacentral:rRNA from 1 species
UACGAAGGGGGCUAGCGUUGCUCGGAAUCACUGGGCGUAAAGCGCACGUAGGCGGGUUGUUAAGUCGGGGGUGAAAUCCUGGAGCUCAACUCCAGAACUGCCUUCGAUACUGGCGACCUUGAGUCCGGGAGAGGUGAGUGGAACUCCGAGUGUAGAGGUGAAAUGCGUAGAUAUCGGAAGGAACAUCAGUGGCGAAGGCGACUUCCUGGACCAAUACUGACGCUCAGGUGCGAAAGCGUGGGGAGCAAACAGG